rnacentral:rRNA from 1 species
GAUGAACGCUGGCGGCGUGCCUAAUACAUGCAAGUCGAGCGAACGGACGAGAAGCUUGCUUCUCUGAUGUUAGCGGCGGACGGGUGAGUAACACGUGGAUAACCUACCUAUAAUACUGGGAUAACUUCGGGAAACCGGAGCUAAUACCGGAUGAUAUUUUGAACCGCAUGGUUCAAAAGUGAAAGACGGUCUUGCUGUCACUUAUAGAUGGAUCCGCACUGCAUUAGCUAGUUGGUAAGGUAACGGCUUACCAAGGCAACGAUGCAUAGCCGACCUGAGAGGGUGAUCGGCCACACUGGAACUGAGACACGGUCCAGACUCCUACGGGAGGCAGCAGUAGGGAAUCUUCCGCAAUGGGCGAAAGCCUGACGGAGCAACGCCGCGUGAGUGAUGAAGGUCUUCGGAUCGUAAAACUCUGUUAUUAGGGAAGAACAUAUGUGUAAGUAACUGUGCACAUCUUGACGGUACCUAAUCAGAAAGCCACGGCUAACUACGUG